rnacentral:misc_RNA from 1 species
GAUGAAGAACGUAGCGAAAUGCGAUAAGUAAUGUGAAUUGCAGAAUUCAGUGAAUCAUCGAAUCUUUGAACGCACCUUGCGCCCUUUGGCUAUUCCGAAGGGCAUGCCUGUUUGAGUAUCAUGAACACCUCAACUCUUUAUGGUUUUCCAUGAUGAGCUUGGACUCUGGGGGUUUUGCUGGCUCACAGUCGGCUCCUCUAAAAUGAAUCAGCUUACCAGUGUUUGGUGGGUAUCAUGGGUGUGAUAACUAUCUACGCUUGUGGUUUUUCCACCAGGUAACCUUCAGCAGUGGAGGUUCGCUGGAGCUCAUAGAUGUCUCUCCUCAGUGAGGACAGCCCUUUGAAUGUUUGAUCUCAAAUCAGGUAGGACUACCCGCUGAACUUAAGCAUAUCAAUAAGCGGAGGA